AAGUCGUAACAAGGUUUCCGUAGGUGAACCUGCGGAAGGAUCAUUAAUGAAUGAUAAUUUUUUGGGGUUUUCCCUGAAAAAUAAUUCACCAUUUGUGCAUUGUUAUUAGAUAUACUUUGGUUAGAGCUUUGAUUUCAUUUAUUGGAAUCAACUUCUUGCUGACUCUAUCCUUUUUAAAGGACAGUUGGCUAUGAAGCGGCCUACCAAGGUUUUUUUAUCAAACUCUUGUAUUUUGUCUGACCUAAACUAUUAUAAUUAAAUCAUAACUUUCAACAACGGAUCUCUUGGCUCUC
rnacentral:misc_RNA from 1 species